AUUGAACGCUGGCGGCAGGCCUAACACAUGCAAGUCGAACGAGUGGCGGACGGGUGAGUAAUGUCUGGGAAACUGCCCGAUGGAGGGGGAUAACUACUGGAAACGGAAGCUAAUACCGCAUACCAUCGGAUGUGCCCAGAUGGGAUUAGCUAGUAGGUGGGGUAAUGGCUCACCUAGGCGACGAGCCCUAGCUGGUCUGAGAGGAUGACCAGCCACACGGGAACUGAGGUACGGUCCAGACUCCUACGGGAGGCAGAGGUGGGGAAUCUUGCACAAUGGGCGCAAGCCUGGUGCAGCCAUGCCGCGUGUGUGAAGAAGGCCUUCGGGUUGUAAAGCACUUUCAGCGAGGAGGCGUUACUCGCAGAAGAAGCACCGGCUAACUCCGUGCCAGCCGCCGCGGUAAUUC
rnacentral:rRNA from 1 species